rnacentral:tRNA from 1 species
GUGGGUAUAGCUCCGUGGUAGAGCCCAUGCUUAGCAUGCACGAGGUCCUGGGUUCAAAGCCCAGUACCUCUG